rnacentral:lncRNA from 13 species
AUGUGUGCCGAGGCUGGGAACGGGGAGAGCAGCCCGGCAAGGAUCGAGGCAGGCAGAGCCAGUCUAUUGGCGGGGGGGGGAAGGUGGGGGGAGGGCGGGGCAGCCCUUUAUCCUGCUCCUUCAGUGCUGUGGCUGGGAACCCGAGGGAUUCAUGCUGCCCUCCAAGGUGAACGGAAGACCCGCCUGCUUUUCUCAGGGACAGUCCUCACAGGCACUCUCCCCACAGUGGGACUGGACAGGCACACUUGGCCUGAUCCGGUAAUUCAAGCUGUGUUUCCAGCUCUGCAGCGAAUCUGGGCUGGCCUGUGACUCAUCUAACAAACAACAAUGCAGUGGACGCAGUUGCAUAACUUUUGGAUGGACCUUUAGGAGCCCUGGCAGCGUCCUCUUCCUCCCAUUUAAAUUACUCACUUCUGGGAGUCCUGGGCACCAGCCAUGGAAGAAGUCCAGCUACCCUCUUGGAGCGACCAGCAACUCUACGGGAGAGAGAAGGCCAGAGAUUACACACAGAGGGAUAAAGGAGCCGAUGUCCCAGCCUCCCAGCUGAGCCUCUUAAUGAUCUGGCCUCGUCCAUCGCGCAACCACAGCCCCAUGAGAUUUCCCGAGCAUGCGCAGCAGAAAAGCAGCUCAGCUAAACCCAGCCAAGCCACAGAAACACAAAAAAAUAAAAUGUUGGUGAUUCUCA